GCGCACGCAGGCGGUCUGUCAAGUCGGAUGUGAAAUCCCCGGGCUCAACCUGGGAACUGCAUUCGAAACUGGCAGGCUAUAGUCUUGUAGAGGGGGGUAGAAUUCCAGGUGUAGCGGUGAAAUGCGUAGAGAUCUGGAGGAAUACCGGUGGCGAAGGCGG
rnacentral:rRNA from 1 species